rnacentral:tRNA from 1 species
UAGCCUAGUUGUUAAGGCUAUGGAUUGCCAAUCCGGAGACGGCGGGUUCGAUUCCCAU